GACGAACGCUGGCGGCGUGCUUAACACAUGCAAGUCGAACGGUGAAAGCGGAGCUUGCUCCGCUGGAUCAGUGGCGAACGGGUGAGUAACACGUGGGCAACCUGCCCCUCACUUCGGGAUAACUCCGGGAAACCGGGGCUAAUACCGGAUAUGACCUCCUUGGGCAUCCUUGGAGGUGGAAAGUUUUUCGGUGAGGGAUGGGCCCGCGGCCUAUCAGCUUGUUGGUGAGGUAGUGGCUCACCAAGGCGACGACGGGUAGCCGGCCUGAGAGGGCGACCGGCCACACUGGGACUGAGACACGGCCCGGACUCCUACGGGGGGCAGCAGUGGGGAAUAUUGCGCAAUGGGCGAAAGCCUGACGCAGCAACGCCGCGUGCGGGAUGACGGCCUUCGGGUUGUAAACCGCUUUCAGCAGGGAAGAAGCCGCAAGUGACGGUAGGUGCAGAAGAAGGACCGGCCAACUACGUGCCAGCCGCCGCGGUAA
rnacentral:rRNA from 1 species